rfam:Agrilus planipennis Contig71961, whole genome shotgun sequence.
UAGAUGUUGUCUUUGAUGGGUAUGGGACUAGUGGCACGUACAUUUGCUCGUGACUAGAUCCACACUCAUUAAAGACGACAUUUA